CCCCCAGGAGUGUGUAAAGGUGGAGGAGAUGAUGUGUGUUCUUGGACGAGUCCAUCCCUCAAAGCCUCAGUUUCCUUAUCUACACGAUGGAGACUUUAAAAGCUGUUCCCUCCAGGAAUGACAAGGAUUCUGAAAGGUGAUGCCCAUGAAGAGCCUGGCAUGUGCCUUGGCAUCCCAGAUACUAUUUCUUCAGUUGUGUGGCAAAAAGCUUACUGGUUCUGAAGAAGGAAUUCAUAGGGCCUGGACUCCAUCUCAGGCCUGUCUGUGCGGAUCGUGUGCGGCCACCUCUCCAGUGGACUCUGAACUCUGCUUAGCGCCUGUGGGAAUGACAAUGGAAGGAUAAGACCCCCCCCCCGGGCAGGGGAAUCUUAAAGAAGAGAAAACAGACACUAAUCACCCCUGCCUCCGGACACUAUCUAUCAGAAUGUAAGCACAGGCUUAUCGGUUAUUAACUAUUUGGAAUGUAACUGCGGGCUUAUUGAUUAUUGACUGUUUGAACACAUAACACGUGAAUGAUGGGGUUAUUGUAGUUGUAUUUACCCUUCCUUUGUUUAUGUAAGUCUCAAGGGAAUUGGGAUAGUGGGUUUGGACACAUACACAUGGGGUAUAAAAGAUUUUCACAAAUGCUGGACGGGGUCCUUGGCUAAGAGGAGACUCUGCCUUGGGCCCGCCGGUGUAAUAAACUGCACUUCACUAUCUGCAUUGUCCUUCUGAGUGAGUCUGUUUCCCGGAAAGUGUGGCUAUAACAGUUCACUCACCAUUCAUUCAUUCACUCAACAGUGACUUAUUAAGUUCCUACUAUGUACCAGGUGAGAUUCUAUAAUAAAAC
rnacentral:lncRNA from 1 species